rnacentral:lncRNA from 1 species
CUGACGUCGGAACAACGUUGAAACAACGUUGGAUUUUGGUUGCGACGUCGGCGACCUAAAUACAACGUCGAUUCAACGUCAUAUUUACGACGUCUAGCAAACGUUAGAUUUAGACGUCUUUACGACGUUGGAUUCUGGUCGGACUUGAAGAGAGUGCAAUGUUGUCAUUUGUUAAACAACUAUUUGGUGAAGAAUUAUUUUCAAAGUGUUACAAUAAUUACUUGUUCUUACAAAGUCCUGAAAAUGCGCGUAAAACUGACAAAUAAUAUUUCAUUUGGAUAUUAAAAAUCAUAACUGUUUUUUUUUUCUCUCUUUUGUUUUCUUUUAUACAAAAAAAUCAUAUUACAGGACUGUUUACUUUUCAGAAUAUUAAAAUAAUACUACUACUACUAAUAAAUUUUGUACAGGAAAUCAAUAUACAUUGAACUUGUAUAGAUUAUUAAACUAGUAAAAUUUCUCUACACAUGAUGUCUAUUAGUCACGCACUUGCUUUUGAUUACACGAUAUUCCUGUAAUUUGAUACACUGGAGAGUUUAGAUAGAGCCAGUUUCAAGACACUUUACACAAAGGGAUCUGCAACGUGGAUGUUUUAGCUGUGUUGAAGAGGCAUGCAUAUUUGGCUACAUUUUAUCUUAUGGACUUAUUUAUGUUGUCACAAGUGGAAAUAAAGAUUAGAAAAUACA